AACGAACGCUGGCGGCAGGCCUAACACAUGCAAGUCGAGCGAGGACUUCGGUCCUAGCGUCGGACGGGUGAGUAACGCGUGGGAACGUUCCCUUUUCUUCGGCAUAGCCCUAGGAAACUGGGAGUUAUACCGGAUGAGCCCUAUGGGGGAAAGAUUUAUCGGGCAAGGAUCUGCCCGCGUUGGAUUAGGUAGUUGGUAGGGUAAUGGCCUGCCAAGCCGACGAUCGAUAGCUGGGUUGAGAGGCUGAUCAGCCACACUAGGACUGGGACACGGCCCAGACUCCUACGGGAGGGAGCAGUGGCGGAUGUUAGAACAUGGGGGAAACGAUGAUCUAGUCAUGCCGGGUGAGCGAUGAAAGCAUUAAGGUUGUAAAGCGCAUUCAGCUGGGAAGAUAAUGACGGUACCAGAAGAAGAAGCCCCGGCUAACUACGUG
rnacentral:rRNA from 1 species